rnacentral:rRNA from 1 species
GCCCGCCGUACAGAAACUUAAAAGGAAGUUAGACGGGGCCCGGCACAAGACGGAGGAGCAUGUGGUUUAAUUCGAUGAUACGCGAGGAACCUUACCUGGGCUCGAACGUAAGAUGACUGUAGGUGAAAGCUUACAUCUCUUCGGAGCAUUUUACGAGGUGCUGCAUGGUUGUCGUCAGCUCGUGCCGUGAGGUGUCGGGUUAAGUCCCAUAACGAGCGCAACCCCUACCUUUAGUUGCCAUCAGGUUAAGCUGGGGACUCUAAAGGAACUGCCUACGCAAGUAGUGAGGAAGGCGGGGAUGACGUCAAAUCAGCACGGCCCUUACGUCCAGGGUUACACACGUGCUACAAUGGCCGAUACAGAGGGCAGCUACCUGGUGACAGGAUGCAAAUCUCCAAAGUCGGUCUCAGUUCGGAUCGGAGUCUGCAACCCGACUCCGUGAAGUUGGAUUCGCUAGUAAUCGCGCAUCAGCCAUGGCGCGGUGAAUACGUUCCCGGGCCUU